GUCAGAUAACUAGGAACCGUACCCCAAACCGACACAGGUGGUUGGGUAGAGAAUACCAAGGCGCUUGAGAGAACUCGGGUGAAGGAACUAGGCAAAAUGGCACCGUAACUUCGGGAGAAGGUGCGCCGGUGAGGGUGAAGCAUUUACUGCGUAAGCCCAUGCCGGUCGAAGAUACCAGGCCGCUGCGACUGUUUAUUAAAAACACAGCACUCUGCAGACACGAAAGUGGACGUAUAGGGUGUGACGCCUGCCCGGUGCCGGAAGGUUAAUUGAUGGGGCUAGCUAACGCGAAGCUCUUGAUCGAAGCCCCGGUAAACGGCGGCCGUAACGAUAACGGUCCUAAGGUAGCGAAAUUCCUUGUCGGGUAAGUUCCGACCUGCACGAAUGGCGUAACGAUGGCGGCGCUGUCUCCACCCGAGACUCAGUGAAAUUGAAAUCGCUGUGAAGAUGCAGUGUAUCCGCGGCUAGACGGAAAGACCCCGUGAACCUUUACUAUAGCUUUGCACUGGACUUUGAAUUUGCUUGUGUAGGAUAGGUGGGAGGCUUUGAAGCGAGGACGCCAGUUCUUGUGGAGCCAAUCUUGAAAUACCACCCUGGCAACUUUGAGGUUCUAACUCUGGUCCGUUAUCCGGAUCGAGGACAGUGUAUGGUGGGUAGUUUGACUGGGGCGGUCUCCUCCUAAAGAGUAACGGAGGAGUACGAAGGUGCGCUCAGACCGGUCGGAAAUCGGUCGUAGAGUAUAAAGGCAAAAGCGCGCUUGACUGCGAGACAGACACGUCGAGCAGGUACGAAAGUAGGUCUUAGUGAUCCGGUGGUUCUGUAUGGAAGGGCCAUCGCUCAACGGAUAAAAGGUACUCCGGGGAUAACAGGCUGAUACCGCCCAAGAGUUCAUAUCGACGGCGGUGUUUGGCACCUCGAUGUCGGCUCAUCACAUCCUGGGGCUGAAGCCGGUCCCAAGGGUAUGGCUGUUCGCCAUUUAAAGUGGUACUCGAGCUGGGUUUAGAACGUCGUGAGACAGUUCGGUCCCUAUCUGCCGUGGACGUUUGAGAUUUGAGAGGGGCUGCUCCUAGUACGAGAGGACCGGAGUGGACGAACCUCUGGUGUUCCGGUUGUCACGCCAGUGGCAUCGCCGGGUAGCUAUGUUCGGAAUAGAUAACCGCUGAAAGCAUCUAAGCGGGAAACUAGCCUCAAGAUGAGAUCUCACUGGGACCUUGAGUCCCCUGAAGGGCCGUCGAAGACUACGACGUUGAUAGGUGGGGUGUGUAAGCGUUGUGAGGCGUUGAGCUAACCCAUACUAAUUGCCCGUGAGGCUUGAACAA
rnacentral:rRNA from 1 species